UACGGAGGAUGCGAGCGUUAUCCGGAUUUAUUGGGUUUAAAGGGUGCGCAGGCGGAAUGUCAAGUCAGCGGUAAAAUUUCGGGGCUCAACCCCGGCCGGCCGUUGAAACUGGUUUUCUAGAGUUGGAGAGAAGUAUGCGGAAUGCGUGGUGUAGCGGUGAAAUGCAUAGAUAUCACGCAGAACUCCGAUUGCGAAGGCAGCAUACCGGCGCCCGACUGACGCUGAAGCACGAAAGCGUGGGUAUCGAACAGG
rnacentral:rRNA from 1 species